UACAGCCAAACUACCCUCAAAACACGUGAUCUCAGAGUGAGGCAGGGUCAGGCCUGGUUAGUACCCGGCCAGGAGAAGAUGGUACGCUGAAC
rnacentral:rRNA from 1 species